CAUCUGCCCUAGAGUGGGGAAUAACAAGGGGAAACCUUUGCUAAUACCGCAUAAUCCCGAGAGGGGAAAGCGGCUCGGUAAAACGAGUGGCGCUCAAGGAGGAGUCCGCGGUCGAUUAGCUAGUUGGUAGGGUAAUGGCCUACCAAGGCUACGAUCGAUAGCCGGCCUGAGAGGGCACACGGCCACACUGGCACUGAAACACGGGCCAGACUCCUACGGGAGGCAGCAGUGGGGAAUCUUGCACAAUGGAGGCAACUCUGAUGCAGCGACGCCGCGUGAGC
rnacentral:rRNA from 1 species